rnacentral:rRNA from 1 species
CCUACGGGUGGCAGCAGUGGGGAAUUUUGGACAAUGGGCGUAAGGCUGAUCCAGCUAUUCCGCGUGUGGGAUGAAGGCCCUAGGGGUGGAAACCACUUUUUUAGAGGACGAAAAGACACCUUCGAAUAAAGGGUGUUGCUGACGGUACUCUAAGAAUACGGACCGGCUAACUACGUGCCAGCAGCUGGGGGAAUACGUAGGGUGCGAGCGUUAAUCGGAAUUACUUGGCGUAAAGGUGGCGCAGGCGGUUGGUUAAGACAGAAGUGAAAGCCCCGAGCUUAACUCGGGAUGGGCAGAUGUGACUGGUCGACUAGAGUGUGUGAGAGGUAGGUGGAAUUCCACGUGUAGCAGUGAAAUGCGUAGAUAUGUGGAAGAACACCGAUGGCGAAGGCAGCCUCCUGGGACAUAACUGACGCUCAGGCACGAAAGCGUGGGGAGCGAACAGGAUUAGAUACCCUUGUAGUC